GAACCAGUCUCGCUGAAUCUCCGAAUGGAGAACGGGGGAACCGAUGCAGAAGCUUGCAGGCCACUUGAAUUAAAUUGAGCCGGAGCGAAUGCAUUUGAUUUCUUUGUGUGAGUCUAUGGGGUGAAUUUGCGAUCAACCGCCAUGAGCGGAUGAAUCAAGAUAGGACGUCUCUCAUUCGUCCGAACCCGACAGCUAACCCCGUAAGCGUAUAUGAGAGAGGCA
rnacentral:sRNA from 1 species